CCUACGGGGGGCUGCAGUGGGGAAUAUUGCACAAUGGGGGAAACCCUGAUGCAGCGACGCCGCGUGAGUGAAGAAGUAUUUCGGUAUGUAAAGCUCUAUCAGCAGGGAAGAAAAUGACGGUACCUGAUUAAGAAGCCCCGGCUAACUACGUGCCAGCAGCCGCGGUAAUACGUAGGGGGCAAGCGUUAUCCGGAUUUACUGGGUGUAAAGGGGGCGUAGACGGCAGCACAAGUUUGGAGUGAAAUGCCGGGGCUUAACCCCGGGACUGCUUUGGAAACUGUGCAGCUAGAGUGCAGGAGAGGUAAGUGGAAUUCCUAGUGUAGCGGUGAAAUGCGUAGAUAUUAGGAGGAACACCAGUGGCGAAGGCGGCUUACUGGACUGUAACUGACGUUGAGGCUCGAAAGCGUGGGGAGCAAACAGGAUUAGAUACCCCGGUAGUC
rnacentral:rRNA from 1 species